CACGUAGGGGACGAGCGUUGUCCGGAAUUACUGGGCGUAAAGGGCGCGCAGGCUGUGCGCCGAGUCGGCUGUUGAAAGGCGGGGCUCAACCCUGUCAAGCGGUCGAGACCGGCGUGCUGGAGAGCUGCAGAGGCAAGCGGAAUUCCCGGUGUAGCGGUGAAAUGCGUAGAUAUCGGGAGGAACAUCGGUGGCGAAGGCGGCUUGCUGGGCAGUGACUGACGCUGAGGCGCGAGAGCCAGGGUAGCGAACGGGAUUAGA
rnacentral:rRNA from 1 species